CCCUAGAGUCCUGGGUGGGGUGACCACAGCCAGGGGCAGGGUCUCAGGUCCAGGUCUGAUAUCUGCAGGGAAAACCUCUGUUUGCUGAGUAGGCUAAGAAGUCUCCAGUGGAUUCCAUGAGCCUGUGACCAGCACUGGCUGAGGACUUUCCAGUGAAUCUUCCCAGCCCUAUGCGACUGAAAAGGCAGUCCUCGCUCUGCAGAGAGGAGAAGCAUCAGUCAGAGCCAUCGCCUUCCUCGGCAUCCAGUGGAGAAGGCUGUGUCCUGACAGGGCCACUCUGGCUCGCUGGAGUCCCCCAGACUUGCUGGACGACAGCCGCUUUGUGAAACGCAAGCCUCAGGACCCUGAUCCAGACUUCUGAGGUUCUGCAACCCACAAGAUGGCUGUGGAAGAUGAACAAGUGCACCUGCCUGACUCACCUGCUCAGGAAAACUCGGGGUUGCUGGGUAACACCGGCCUUUUUGCUAUUUCUCCUUGGCCUCUGGGUUAAAUUUUAAGACAAUACCAGACAGACCCAGCUUUGAAUAUACGAGCUUCCCACUGGAAACACUCCACCCCGCCAGUCAGCUCCACGCCUGUGAGGGGCGAGGGCAGGGACCUGCCCACUCAUUCGUCUCCAUUGAUGUCUUAUUUCAACCCCUGCAACAGGCCAGGCCCCGAGCUUCCCCUCCAGAUGCCUGCUCCUGCCCUUCUGGAGUUUGUAGCCUAACAGGGUCUCACUAUGUAGCCCCGGCUGGCCUCAAACGUGUGGAUCCUCCUGCCUCAACCUCCCGAGUGCUGGAAUCAUAGGUGUGUGCCAUCACGCCUGGUGUUGAGCAGUUAUUCACUAUUCAAAGGAUCUGACAGGUCCAAAGCCUCGAACUGUGAGCAGGUCUCAGCUCAUAGUAAGGGGUCAGCUGGAGAUGGAUUUGUGCAGACUGAGACUGUCAGGGAGCUUGGAGUGCUUCCAAGGGGGGUGCUGGGUCCCAGGCGGGUGAUCAUGAUAAGGUGACUGUAGUAUAAUUCAGUCUGUUCAUUGCUAGAGCUGUGCAGAGUGUGUAUUGAUUUUUCCCUGAAGGAUUAGCCCAUAUGAAGCAGGAGGCCUAUGACCAAGAUAAAAUAGUGAUUGUAUUUAAAAUGCACAGCACUUGUUUUUGUGAUUAUAAAGGCCAAGAAACUUAAAAUUCUUAAAAGACAAAUGGAGACCUCCUAAGCCAACAUCGCUGCCCGGAGCUGCCUGCUCACCGGUGUCCAGGGGACUUUCCCAGUGUCGCUCCCCAGUCUAUGGGUCAGGGCCUCCAGUCUUCCUGUGUUGAACUUGAAACAGCUUUAUUCCAAUUUGGCUUGAUGUUUGUUUGUAGCACUUAUUUAAGAAGGAAAAAAGGUCAACCCUUCCCGCUUUAAACCGGCCCCUUCAUGUCUUUGUGUAUCUGUGAGUGAGUCAGGGAGAUGGAGUCAGAGGGAAGAGGGGGUGCUGGGCAGAUGAGAGGCCUUUCUGAAAGGAAGGGAGAAGAGUAAAGAAAU